CAUUGCUCAGGAAAAUCACGUUAAUUCCUCGAUUCCUGAGACUUCACAAGACACAGAACCCCGAUGACAGCCCGAAGUGGAAACAGCCCUAGGUCUCCGGACUCUAGGUCCGCCAAGGCAGAACUCUGCCCUUCCAAGGGCCCCGACUUUGGCGCGCGGCCCCGCCCCGCGAACCCCAACGCGCGGGGUGAAGGGGCGGUCCCCACCGCGCAGACUUAGCGUUCAGGGAUGAGGUUGGGGGGAGGCCAGGCCAUGCCCCAGCCUCCGCCCGCUCGCCGGCCCGCCGGCCUCCCCCUACCUCGGCCUUCCCCGGACUACGCCUGCCUUCCUGCCGCCCACCGCCGCGCCCCGCCGCCGCACCUUGAGGUGGGUGCGCAGGCCGCCAGCGCCCCCAGACUGGUCGGUGAUCUCGUAGGCGCCCGUCACCAGCAGGUCCUUGUGGAUCUCCUCUCGGAGACACUUGCGAGAGUUCACGGGCAGAUGGAAGGAGAUGCCGAGGACCGAGCUGGGGCCGAGCAGCAACAGAAAGAGCCAGGCGGACGGGAGAGGGCCAGGCCGGGAGAGUGGGCCAAACAAACCAGACAUGGUGCCGGAGCCUCGUUCACCACCCGGGGCCUCUAGCGCGCCGGAACCGGGAGCACCCACGUGACGCGCCUCUGCCCUGGCGAGGCCGUCCGCGCCAUUUUGGAGAUUGGCUAAACAGAAAAGGAAUGUAAAGCAAAUAACUUCUAAGAGGAAGCAAAGAUUUGGGUUUGGAAGACCGAGGGAAGAGGAUGGCCUUGAGAUGGAAGCCAGCUGGGACUGUAUAGUGAGUUCCAAGCCAGCCUGGGGUACAUGUCUCAGAAAGCAGAUACUACAACACCCAAGAAUAAACAGUAGCC
rnacentral:lncRNA from 1 species